UGAGGAACAUGACCUUCGGCGGGGGAGUAGCCGGCCCAACGGCCGGGUAAUACCGCGUACGACCACUUUGGGACAUCCCUCGGUGGUGAAAGCAGCAAUGCGCCGAUGGAGUGCCUCGCGGCCUAUCAGCUAGUUGGUGAGGUAACGGCUCACCAAGGCGACGACGGGUANCUGGUCUGAGAGGAUGGCCAGCCACAUUGGGACUGAGAUACGGCCCAGACUCCGUACGGGAGCAG
rnacentral:rRNA from 1 species